UGAGGAAUAUUGGGCAAUGCCCGCAAGGGUGACCCAGCAACGCCGCGUGGAGGAUGAAUGUCGUAAGAUUGUAAACUCCUGUUAGAGGGGAAGAAUAGUACCGGUUGGACCGGUAUAUGACUGUACCCUCAGAGAAAGCCCCGGCUAACUACGUGCCAGCAGCCGCGGUAAUACGUAGGGGGCAAGCGUUGUCCGGAUUUACUGGGUGUAAAGGGCGCGCAGGCGGGAUAAAAAGUCAGUGGUGAAAUCCCACAGCUUAACUGUAGAACUGCCUUUGAUACUUUUAUUCUUGAGUUCGGGAGAGAGAGACGGAAUUCCAGGUGUAGUGGUGAAAUACGUAGAUAUCUGGAAGAACACCAGUUGCGAAGGCGGUCUCUUGGUCCGACACUGACGCUGAGGCGCGAAAGCGUGGGGAGCAAACA
rnacentral:rRNA from 1 species